rnacentral:rRNA from 1 species
GGCUCAGAACGAACGCGGCGGGCGUGGAUAGGGCAUGCAAGUCGAACGCGAAAGAGGGGGCAACCCCUCGAGUAGAGUGGCGAACGGGUGAGUAACGCGUGAAGAACCUGCCUUCAACAGGGGGAUAACACUCCCAACGGGGUGCUAAUACCGCAUGAGACCACGGGAUCGCAUGGUCCUGAGGUCAAAGGUGGCCUCUAUUUAUAAGCUACCGGUUGAAGAUGGCUUCGCGUCCCAUUAGCUAGUUGGCGGGGUAAUGGCCCACCAAGGCGACGAUGGGUAGCUGGUCUGAGAGGAUGGUCAGCCACACUGGGACUGAGAUACGGCCCAGACUCCUACGGGAGGCAGCAGUCGAGAGGCUUCGGCAAUGGGGGAAACCCUGACCGAGCGACGCCGCGUGGGGGAUGAAGGCCCUUGGGUUGUAAACCCCUUUUGUUCGGGAAGAAAUGCGAUCAGGUGAAUAAUCUGGUCGUUUGACGGUACCGGACGAAUAAGCUCCGGCUAACUCCGUGCCAGCAGCCGCGGUAACACGGGGGGAGCAAGCGUUGUUCGGAAUCACUGGGCGUAAAGGGCGUGUAGGCGGUCUGGUAAGUGAGAUGUGAAAUCCCUCGGCUCACCCGAGGAUCGGCAUCUCAUACUGCUAGGCUUGAGUACGGGAGAGGACAAGGGAAUUCCUGGUGUAGCGGUGAAAUGCGUAGAUAUCAGGAGGAACACCGGUGGCGAAAGCGCUUGUCUGGCCCGAUACUGACGCUGAUGCGCGAAAGCUAGGGGAGCAAACGGGAUUAGAUACCCCGGUAGUCCUAGCCGUAAACGGUGAUCACUAGGUGUUGGGGGCAUUGACCCCUCCAGUGCCGCAGCUACGCAUUUAGUGAUCCGCCUGGG